AUGGUGCGGGAUCUCGGCGCCGCCCGCCGCACACCGGCCAGGCCCUCCGCCUCGGAGGCCGGCAACGACGAGAACGCGCCGGGCGACGGCUCGGACGCCGCGGCCGCAGCGCUCGUCGGUGCCGCGGAGUCCCGCCCCCCUCUCCUCGCCAUCCAGCCGCAGGCGUCCGGGCUGAAGCGGAAGCCGGAGUCGCCGGCGCCCACGCCCUCCAAGCUCCCGUUCCGGACCCCCGAGAAGGCCGCCGCGCGGAGCCGGUUCGGGUGGGCCCCGCCCCGCGCCGAGGAGCUGCCGCCGCGGAUGGGCGCGACCACGAUGACCACUCCGCGUGCGCAUCGCGGUAAGGCCGUGCUGGCGGCCUCCUCCGAGGGUGGGUCCACGCACAGCACGCCCACGAAGAGCGUGUCAAAGCCGGCUUACAGCGUGGGGCUGAGCGGGACGAGGCCGGUGACGAGCGGUGGUGCCCGGGGCCCAGGAUCGGGGUUGGGGUGCUCUAUGGCCGCCAGGGGUGCGCCCGUGUCGUUUGGGCCGGCGACCGUGGUGAGUUCUGUGGAGGUGCCCCAGUUCGAACUACGGGAAGAUCCCUCCUUCUGGAUGGACAAUAACGUGCAGGUUGUUAUCCGUGUCCGCCCUCUAAAUAACUCGGAGAAAACUCUGCAUGGUUAUAAUCGGUGUUUGAAACAAGAAAGUGCCCAGACUAUCACAUGGAUUGGUCAGCCAGAAACCCGUUUUACAUUUGACCAUGUUGCCUGUGAAGGAGUGAACCAGGAAGUACUUUUCCGUGUUGCUGGCUUACCAAUGGUUGAGAACUGUAUGGCUGGAUACAACAGCUGCGUCUUUGCAUAUGGGCAGACUGGAAGUGGAAAGACAUACACGAUGCUUGGCGAAAUUAGUGAUCUGGAAGUGAGGCCUAGUCCAGAACGUGGAAUGACACCACGUAUUUUCGAGUUCCUGUUUGCGAGAAUUAGAGCGGAGGAAGAGAGCAGGAGGGACGAAAAGCUCAAGUACAACUGCAAGUGUUCUUUUCUUGAGAUUUACAAUGAACAAAUUACAGAUCUUCUUGACCCUUCAUCCACAAAUCUUGCACUCCGAGAAGAUAUAAGGAAUGGAGUAUACGUAGAAAAUCUGACUGAACUUGAAGUUGGCUGUGUCAAUGAUAUCAUUAAACUUUUGAUGCAGGGCUCUAUGAAUAGGAAAGUGGCUGCUACAAAUAUGAACCGUGAGAGUAGCCGCUCCCACAGUGUGUUCACGUGUAUUAUCGAGAGUACGUGGGAGAAAGAUUCUACAACUAACUUACGGUUUGCAAGACUGAACCUAGUUGAUCUUGCUGGGUCAGAAAGGCAGAGAACAUCUGGUGCUGAAGGUGAGCGGCUGAAGGAAGCUGCUAAUAUUAACAAAUCGUUAUCAACACUGGGUCUUGUGAUAAUGAGUCUAGUUGAUCUUACAAAUGGGAAGCAAAGGCAUGUUCCUUAUAGAGACUCAAGAUUAACGUUUCUUCUCCAGGAUUCUCUUGGUGGAAACUCCAAGACCAUGAUCAUCGCAAAUGUCAGCCCUUCAUUGUGUUCUGGCAAUGAAACACUCAGUACCCUCAAGUUUGCUCAGCGUGCAAGGCUCAUUCAAAACAAUGCUGUUGUGAAUGAAGACGCUUCAGGAGAUGUUCUAGCUUUGCAGCAUCAAAUUCGUCUCCUAAAGGAGGAGCUAGCUGUCCUCAAGCGUCACCAUGUCACUAGAUCUUUACCAUUCAGUACUGAUAUUUGCGGAAGAUCUGGAGGUGAUGUUGAUGAUGGCAGUGAUCACAUGAGUGUGGAUGAGGAAAAUAACAGUGACGCCCAAAGCAUAAAGUCUUUGGAAGAUUUAAAAUUUUCAAAUAAGCAGAUGAGAUCACUGGAAGAAACACUAGCAGGAGCUUUGAGAAGAGAAUCAAUGGCAGAGUCCACUAUAAAGCAACUUGAAGCUGAAAUUGAGCAGUUGAACCGAUUGGUUUCUCAAAGAGAGGAGGAUACAAGGUGUGCUAAGAUGACAUUGAAAUUUCGAGAAGAUAAGAUUAACAGGAUGGAGGCUCUUGUUCAUAACAAAUUGCCAGCAGAAUCAUAUCUACUUGAAGACAACAAAACUUUGUCACGAGAAAUAGAGUUGCUUCGUGCAAAAGUGGACAAAAAUCCAGAAGUAACCCGUUUUGCACUAGAAAAUAUCCGUUUAUCAAGCCAACUCAAGAGGUAUCAGCAGUUCUGUAACGAAGGGGAGAGGGAGGUUCUGUUGGAUGAAGUUUCCACCAUUCGAAAUAAGGUCGUGCAAAUGCUUGAGGGGAGGAUGUUAACUGAGCAGCAAAAUAAACUUUCAUCCAAGUUUGAGGACGCAGAACAUCGCUCUAGUUUAGCAAGUGAGCCUGAAACUUUGCCUAAGGAGUUGAAAAGAGCUUGUCAAGAACUGGAAACUUGCAGAAGUGAGCUACAAGGUUGCUUGGAAUCAAAUAAAAAACUAACUAGGGAAAUAGCUGAUCUGCACAAAGAAUUGAGUACCAUCAAAAUGACAAAGAGGGAGGAAUGCCAAUUUGAGUAUGGUUCUAAUGCACGUGCAGAAGUGGAAGAUUGUUGUGAUGAGGCUUUCAUGGACAACACAGAAGAUAUAUUAAACCUGCAGCUGGAGUUGGACAUACUUAAAGCAAUUCUUGCAGAAGAGAGGACAGUCCGUGGAGAGGUUGAGGAAAGAACUACUACCUUAAGUGAUGAGCUGAAAGCAGCAAAUUUACGUAUCCUUCAAGCUUGCAAGCAGAGUGAUGCCAUAGAAAGCGAACUGAAUGAUGCAAGAUCUGUUAUUGAAGCUCUUGAGUCGCAGCAGAUUUUGUUGAUAAAUGAACUAGACGAGUUGAAAAAGAAUAAUCAGAAAAGCUUUGAGAUUCUAAAAAGGAGGGGCAGAGAAAUCUCAAGAUUAAAUACUGAGAUUGACAACCACCGUAGACAGGGCCUGGUGGCUAGUGGAGAACCCAAAAUGCAACUUUUGAAGUGUAUUGAAAAUGAAGAUUCACCUCUGCAGAGAAAGCUGAAAAGGAUGCAAGCUUCACUUGAGAAGGCAAAUGACUUAAAUACAAGGUACCAAAGAGAUCAGGCGUCUGAUAGUUCUGCUGAGCAAGAAAUGGAUGAGGUCCGUAGACAGGUUGAAGUUGAAACAACUGAGGUGAUUAUGUGCUUACAAGAAGAGCUUAUGUCGCUCCAACAACAGUUAGAUGCUAGUAACAAAAAUGAAUUGUUGGCCAAACAAAGCCUAGAUGAGCUUCAACUGGAAAGGAAAGAGUUGAAUGACAGGCUAUUUGAGGUGAUGAAAGAGAAUGAAAGCCUUUCUGAACUAACUAAGGAAAAAGAAAAGAAAAUUCAGCUUUUGACCAGUGGCCGGGAGAGCUUACAAGAUCUCAUAUCGCUCCAACAACAGUUGGAUGCUAGUAACAAAAAUGAGUUGUUGGCCAAACAAAGCUUAGCCGAGCUCCAACUGGAAAGGAAGCAGUUGAAUGAUAGGCUACUUGAGGUGAUGGAAGAAAAUGAAAGAUUUACUGAACUAACUGAGGGAAAAGAAAAGAAAAUUCAGCUGUUGACCAAUGACUGGGAGAGCUUACGUGAAGAGCUUUCAUCUCUCCAACAACAGCUAGAUGCUAGUAACAAAUACGAGUUAUUGGCCAAACAAAGCCUGGAGGAGCUUCAACUGGAAAGGAAAGAGUUGAAUGACAGGCUACUUGAGGUGAUGAAAGAGAAUGGAAGCUUUUCUCAACUAAUUGAGGAAAAAGAAAAUAAAAUUCAGCUUUUGACCAAUGAUUGGGAGAGCUUACAAGAAGAGUUUCUAUCGCUCCAACAACAGUUCGAUGCUAGUAACAAGAAUGAGUUGUUGGCCAACCAAAGCUUAGAUGAGCUUCAACUGGAAAGGAAACAGUUGAAUGAUAGGCUACUUGAGGUGACGAAAGAGAAAGAAAGUUUUUCUGCACUAUCUGAGGAAAAAGAAAAGGAAAUUCAGCUCCUGACCCAUGACUGGGACAAAUUGGCUGCUGACAUUGGAAGCUUUCUCGUUGAGGGAAAUGCUUCUCUUGAUGAAGCUUCUGACCAGGUUGCCUUUAUUUCGGAGUCCUUUUCUCAAAGAAGAUGGGUUGAGGAUCAAGUCCAGAAGAUGUGUCAGGGUAUAUCUGACAGAGAGAAGUUACUCGAAGAGCUCCAAAGCCGGUUGAAAGAGGUAGAUGAUAUAAAAUGCGAUUUGGACCUGAAGUUAAGGUCCUUAAGAGGAGCAAUGGAGGCAAUAAAUGAGAUGCAUCAACAUGAAAGGAAUGAUCAAGAAAAAGCUAUUGCUCUUUUAAGAUCUCAAGUAUCUGAACAAGGACAGGUGAACCAGAGACUAGAGCUUUUGUUGGAUGAAUCCAUUGGAACAUUUGUGCAGAAGGAGGUUCUUGAACAAAGCUAUGUAUCAUCACUGAGGGGGAUGGAAGAAGGGAUUCAUCAGCUCAAGACUCAAUUAGACCAGUCAAAGAUACAUAUAGCUCAUUCAUUGAGUCAGAUCAAGGACAAGGAGCAGACAUUUGAGAAGCUAAAAAAUGAAGAAAAUACCAUUCUGUUAAGAAUGUUAUCAGAUGUUCUGAAGGCAAAGGGUAUUAUACAUGAGUUUGGUGUUCGAUUCAAUACAUUGGAGUCAAGCUUUUCUGUGGACCCUGAAGAAGUUGUUUGCCAAAAUUCAGACUUGAAUUUGGAGGAUCGGGAUGAACUUAAAACAUUCGGAGCCCUUGAAGCUGGAGAGCAGUGCAAUGCUGACGCCCUUUGCCAACUUAGUAAGGAGAUGGAGUCUGCAGUUUAUAAAUUACAGACGCUGCAGUCUCAGAUGGCCAAGCUUCUGCAAGAAAAGGAAAAUGUGAAAGAAUGCCUUCUCCAGAGUCGAAGAACUGUCCAAGAUCUAAAUUCUGAGGUCCUUCAAUUGAAGUCACAGAUGAUUGAUCAACAGACGCGCUAUGAAGCUCGAGUGGAAGAACUGGAAAUAAAGAUGCAGGGAAAGGACAAUGACACUGCAACAUCACUUGUUUCAUGCCAUAAAGAGAUAGAGGCACUUGAAUCUGAGCUCUCAGAGGCCAAAGUUCUUGCACAGCAGAAAUCAUUUGAGGCUUUUACUCUUAUAGCCAAGUUUCAAGAUGCGCAGGCAACUAUAGCUGAUGCAGACUCUACAGUCAAGGCACUGGUGGAAGCGAAUGAAAAUGCAAAACUCCAAGCAGAGAAGCACAAACAAAAGGAAUCUUCUUAUAUUGUUGAAAAGAAUGACUUGCUAAAUGAGGUCAGUAGUUUGAAGAUGAUGCUGGAUGUGAAGGGACAAAAUUACCUGGAUAUGGAAAAGAAAUUUGAAUCAAGCCUGCUUGAAGCAAAUGAGGUAGCUCUUGAACUGGAAGAUGGCAUCAGAUGUCUGAAGAAUUUGCUAUCGGAGAACCUUGAGUUUGUUUCUUCAGAUGUUAAAUGGAUGAAGUCAAAACUUCGGCAGUUCACAGAGUUGGCAAGAACUUGGUUGGAGGAGAACUGGUUAGAGAUAAUUGGAAAAGAUUGUGCUGUGUCUGUGUUGCACCUCUGUCAUAUGGGGAUUUUGUUGGAGAGAAUUACUGGGCUGCAUGCUGAAAAUGGUUUCCUUCAGCGCGGGAUCUGCGAAUCUAAUUCUUUGAUAUCUACGCUGAGACAGCACAAUGAUAAAGCAAAAAAUGAACUGGAGAUGUGUAGUGUUCUCAAAGGAAAAUUACUACUUGACAUUAACCACAGUUUUGGUCGUGUUGCAAAGAAGGAACACGAAGCAACUGAACUGAGCUCAAGACUGGAUUCUUUCGGGAAGAAAAUUCUGCAUUUGCAAGCACAAGAAGAAGCAAUGUUGGCACGGUCAGAUUCCAUUUAUAACGAGCUAUCUGUGUUGACUAAAGAGAUUGAUGCUACCAACAGGAGUUCUUUGGCGGCUGAAUCCAAAGAAAAGGAAGAGCUGCACAACCAAUUGGAUGAGGCGUUGUUUCUCAAUGGAAUGUUGAAGGACACAAUGCUUGAGGUUCUGAGUCUGCCUGAAGUGAACAGUGCUAUACCUGCAAAGGAUAUGAAAGGGUGUAAUGAAUUUGAGUUGUGCAGUUGGUUUGUAAACUACCACCAUGAUUCGAUCAUGAUCAAUGCAAUUGCAAGUGAUAUUGAAUUUAUUGUUUUGGCUUCAGAAGUGGAGCAAGAAAAAAUACAACUGCAAGCACAAAAUCUUAUGUUUACCGAAGUACUUGAAGGAUUGAAGACAGAAGCAACUCUGUGGAAAGUUGACCAGGAUUUGGGUAGUCUUGCAAUUUAUGCUUUACAUGAGGAGAACAGUCAUACAAGGAUUGAUUUGGAGAACCUAAAGCGGAACAAGGAUGAAGUUAUGGAAAGCCUACUUGCAACGCGUGAGGAAAAUUCAAAACUUCGAUAUGUAGUUGAUUCCUUGGAGUCCAACAUCAAUUCCCUGCAAACAGAUCUAGAUGGGAAAGCCAAAGCUCUAAUGGAGUUGCAAUGCUCCCAUGCAGCCUUAUGUAAAGAGCUCGAGUUGAAAGCUGAGGUCAUUGAACUUGGAAUUUCAAGAGAAAAUGCUUUGAGGUCCGAGAAUGAUUUACUGAAACAUGAAAAGCUGGAUAUUCUGUGCAGGGACCAGAGGAUGUUUCAUUUGGUAUCUAAUAUUGAUAUGGAGAAGUUAUCAUUCUCCUUCCAAGCAUAUUUGGAUCAGAUUAACACAGAAGUCCAAAGACACAUUGAUGAGCAAUUGACCACAGUGAUGAAGUUCUCCAAUGACUUAAGCUUGGUUCAAUUGUCUGUUGAGGAGUUGAGCACCCAUAAUUCCUUUUUACAGUCUGAAUUAGCAAGGAAAGAUGAAUUGGCAAAGGGCUUAUCAUUUGAUCUUAGCCUAUUACAGGAGUCAGCGUCGGUUGUAAAAGAUCAAGCAGAUCAACUUAUUGAGUUGACUGAAGCAAUCACCUUAUUAGAACAUGAGGUUGCUUCUAAAUCACAUGAUCUUGAUAAUCUUGCUUCUGGAAGCCAACUACUAGAAGCUCAACUCAUGAAGAGUAAUGAAAAGAUUUUGGUGCUAGAGGAGCAGCUAGCAAGUACAGUUAGUGAACUAAAUGCAGUUUCUAUGGAAAACACUGAGUUGAGAUCUCAGCUCAAUCAUAUUGAACAGAUCGGUUACUCUAUGAAAGAGGAAUUAGCCCAUAAAAGUAAUGCCACUGAAAGAAUGGAAGAAGAGUUGAUUGAGCUGAGAAAUUUACUUGAUGAAAGGAACAGCUUCCUUCAAAAUUUACAAAAUAACUUCUCCAAGCUCUCGGAUGAGAAGCAAUACUGUGACUCUCAGGUGCUUCUCUUGAGAGAGAAGCUGGAGAUGGCUCAGGCAGUGGCAGAAGAAAGUGAAGCAAUUGCUACGGAGGCCCGACAGAUAGCAGAUGAAAGGAAGACAUAUGCUGAAGAGAAGGAUGAAGAAGUCAAGCUAUUGGAGAGGUCAAUUGAGGAGCUCGAGAGUACCAUAUUUGCUCUGGAGAACCAGGUGGGCAACAUCAAGGAUGAAGCGGAACGACAGAGAAUACAGAGAGAAGAAUUAGAAGUGGAGCUGCAGAGAGUCAGGCACCAAAUGUCAUCUGUACCAUCAUCUGGGAAAGUAAAGAGCUUUGGGGAAGAUGGAAUGGUUGAUUCAACUGACUCAUUCAGACACUCGAGAGAGAUACAUACCGAGCUACUAAGUGCUCAGCAGAGUAUCAAAAUACUUCAAAAGGAGGUAGCUGAAAAGGAAUCAGAGAUUGCUCAAUGCAAGUCACACAUAUCGGAGCUAAACUUACAUGCUGAGGCAGCAGCACGUGAAUAUAAGCAGAAGUUCAUGGAGCUAGAGGCUAUGGCACAUCAGGUUACUACUGACAAUCCAUCAACAAAUGCUUGCUCCAUGAGACCGGAGAAGAUUAGCUCGAAACCUCGAGGUUCAGGCUCCCCAUUUAAAUGUAUUGGAUUGGGCUUUGUACAACAAGUGAAUUCUGAGAAAGACGAAGAACUAAGUGCUGCAAAGCAACGUAUUGUGGAACUCGAGGGCAUAGCAGCUAGUCGACAAAGGGAGAUAUUCAUGUUGAAUGCGAAAUUAGCUACCACAGAAAGUAUGACACAUGAUGUGAUUCGUGAUAUGUUGGGGGUUAAGAUGAACAUGACAACUUGGGCGACACUAGUUGACAAACAGCAAAAGACAAGCACAAAAGAGUCAGUUGCUUAUCAAACUGAAGAAUCUAAAGAGUCCAAUGAGCUGAUGAAGUUGAAGCAGCAGCUUGAUGAAUUCAUUGAAGAGAGACAGAGUUGGAUUGAUGAAAUCAACCAAAGACAAUCAGAACUUGGAGCUGCCCGUAUUACUGUAGAGCAAUUACGGCAAAAGGAACAUUUUAUGGUAGCUGAAGUUGACUUGCUGAAGGCUGAGAAUGCAAACUACAAAACGAUCAUUUUUAAUCUUGAAGAUGAAGUAAAGAAGCUUACCAGACAACAGAAUCUCCAGCUACGAAUUAAUCACCAUGUCAAAACUAAGGAAGAGAAUAUCCUUCUGAAAAAGCAGAAUGAAGAACUAAGUGCAAAGCUGCAGCAGCUAGGGGCCAUUGUUACCCGCACAAAAGAAAAGCUUGCCCGCUACAUGGUCUCGGAUGGAAAAGAUCCACAUGAGCAGAUUGAAGAGGAAGAGCUUUUGAGGAAGAAAUUAGAGGAAAGUGAACAAGAUAGAAGCAAACUCGCAGAAAAUCUAUCGAGUUUGUGUACCAGUGUUCUGAAGGUAGCUGGAGUUAGAAACCAUGAGUCUGAAACGAGUCUUCUGAAAGCAAUGGAAGCCCUAAAUCAACUCCAGUGCUGCAUUUCUUCCUUGGAGAGUGAGGUUGAAGAUCUUCGAAUAAAGUGCAAACUACUGCGUGAAAAAGCUCGACUAAACAGUCUCCGGAGCGACUCGUCCUCCGCGAGCUCGGGGGCGAAUGAGAGCUCCAGAUCGCCAAGCGUGUGCAGAUCUCCGAGCAUUUCGUCUUUCCGAUGA
rnacentral:rRNA from 1 species